AUGGAGGCGCCGACGGCGGCGCCGCGGGUGCGGUCGAUCCGGGAGACGGUGCUGGAGAGCGUGGCGGCGUACCACCAGCAGCAGCGGAUGCGCCGCAGGUUCCGCAAGAGCCUCUCCUACGCCGGGGAGCUCUCCUCCGCGGGCGCCUCCACCUCCGCCUCCCUCGCCUCGCUCGCCGGGCCCGAGGACGACGACGAGCCCUUCUGGGAGGAGGAGGAGGGCACCGUGGAGCUCGUCCAGCUCGGCGCCAACCGCGCCAAGAACGUCCUCGUCCUCAUGAGCGACACCGGCGGCGGCCACCGCGCCUCCGCCGAGGCCAUCAAGGACGCCUUCCGCAUCGAAUUCGGCGACGACUACCGGGUGUUCGUCAAGGACCUGUGCAAGGACCAUGCCGGCUGGCCGCUCAACAACAUGGAGAGCUCCUACAAGUUCAUGGUGAAGCACGUGCAGCUCUGGAAGGUGGCCUUCCACGGCACAUCGCCCCGAUGGGUCCACAACUUCUACCUCGCCGCCCUCGCCUCCUUCUACGCCAAGAAGGUUGAGGCUGGAUUGAAGAAGUACAAGCCAGACAUAAUAAUUAGUGUUCACCCCCUCAUGCAACACAUUCCUCUAUGGGUACUCAAAUGGCAAGGUCUGCAGAACAGAGUAGUCUUCGCCACUGUCAUCACUGAUCUUAACACUUGCCACCCUACAUGGUUCCAUGCUGAUGUGAAUAGGUGUUACUGCCCAUCGGAGGAAGUAGCCAAGAGGGCAGAACUGGAUGACCUAAAAAGUUCUCAGAUCCGUGUGUUCGGUCUUCCCAUUCGACCAUCAUUCUGCCGUGCUGUCCUUGUCAAGGAUGAUUUGCGGAAGGAACUUGAAUUGGAUCCUGACCUACCGGCAGUGUUGCUGAUGGGAGGUGGAGAGGGCAUGGGUCCUGUAAAGAAGACCGCGAAAGCCCUUGGAGAUGCAUUGUUUGACAAAGAGCUCGGAAAACCAAUCGGGCAGCUUGUUGUCAUUUGUGGUCGGAACAAAACACUGAGCUCCUCAUUGCAGGCUCUUGAAUGGAAAAUGCCAAUAAAGAUUAGGGGAUUCGAGACCCAAAUGGAGAAAUGGAUGGGGGCUUGUGAUUGCAUUAUAACAAAGGCUGGACCAGGCACCAUUGCUGAAGCCUUGAUUAGGGGUCUUCCUAUCAUCCUUAAUGACUUCAUACCUGGACAGGAAGUUGGCAACGUCCCUUAUGUCGUGGACAACGGCGCGGGCGUGUUCUCCAAGAGCCCUAAGGAAACGGCCGAACUUGUCGCCCGCUGGUUCGGUCCAGGCGCGGAGGAACGCAAGAGGAUGUCGGAGAACGCGUUGAAAUUGGCCCAGCCGGAAGCUGUGUUCGACAUUGUCAGAGACAUCCACGAGCUGUCCCAGGAGCAAGGGGUGAAGGCGCAGAUCUCCAGCUCCCUGACGUCGUCCUUCUUCAUACCAUCUCCUGAAGCCAGCCAUUGCCCCAGCCCCAUCCCGCUCGUGUGA
rnacentral:rRNA from 1 species